AUUGAACGCUGGCGGCGUGCUUAACACAUGCAAGUCGAUCGGUAACAGGUGUAGCAAUACAUGCUGACGAGAGGCGGACGGGUGAGUAAUGCUUGGGAAUCUGCCUAUUAGUGGGGGACAACCCGGGGAAACUCGGGCUAAUACCGCAUACGCUCUACGGAGGAAAGCCGGGGACCGCAAGGCCUGGCGCUAAUAGAUGAGCCCAAGUCGGAUUAGCUAGUUGGUAGGGUAACGGCCUACCAAGGCGACAAUCCGUAGCUGGUCUGAGAGGACGACCAGCCACACCGGAACUGAGACACGGUCCGGACUCCUACGGGAGGCAGCAGUGGGGAUAUUGGACAAUGGGGGGCAACCCUGAUCCAGCGACGCCGCGUGGGUGAAGAAGGCCUGCGGGUUGUAAAGCCCUUUCGGU
rnacentral:rRNA from 1 species